rnacentral:miRNA from 1 species
AGGCGGGGAACCUGGGGCGCAGGCUGUGUGUGAGUCAGCCCGGUCGGCCACGCCACA